rnacentral:lncRNA from 1 species
AGAAAACAUAAUACAGUCACCAGUGCUAUCCCCUCUACUCGCGCUGGUCCACUGCUAUUCGCUGAUGAUUUCAAACCAUAGAAAAAAGUGUUGUGUGAUUUGGUAGAAUGCGAUCUUACUCUUUAAAAAACAUGUCACGUCUUUCAGCGCCAUCUCAGCACCUGGUUAAAUGGAAGGAUACUACAAAUCUGGCCUCCAUAUAAGUGGUCUGUAGCUUCGACCAGUGUGCGUCUUGGAAGAGUGUUGCCAUCGUAUACGCUAAAAGCUGAUUGGCUCCGCCAUCUUUUGCUCAGAUUUCCGGAUUAAUAUGGAAGGGGUAAACAGAUGAUCAGUUGUUUAUUUUUCGUUUACUUUACUCUGGUUUAGUGGUUUAACCUCACUUAACUAGAUAGAGUGAAAUAUUAAAUUACUAUUACUAUUAUUAUUCAGGUUGAAAAAUGCCUUCCUGUAAGGUAAAAGGUUGCGAAGUCGAUUGGGGAAAAAUAAUGUGAAAAUGAAUUCUUUCCCAAAAGAAUCUGAACGACGGAAAGUGUGGAUUAAAAAUAUAGGGUUAAAACAAGAUCCAAACAAAUAUGCUGUUGUUUGUGAAGAACACUACUUCUGACAUGUGGAAAAAAGUUAGACAAGAUGGCAGCAGAAAAUUAAAAUGCAUUGCUGUACCAACAAUAUUUAGAGAAGAAAGCGAAAGUAUUUAAUUAUUUAUAUUGGUUUUUUGUUUAUUCACCAAUUUAACACCUAUAGAUAUUUGUAUAACAAGAGAGCGAAGUGCACCUUUUCCUCCCAAGAAUAAAGCUUACUAGUUUACUACAGUAAUCAUUCAAGGGAGGAAAAGGCACUUCUCCCAUGUUAUACAUUUUUCCACCUCCCUCAAAUAAGUCAUUUUUCCAUUUUUAAAAUAUUUAUAUAACUGUUGAUUGAAUACAUGAAUCAUAAUUGAAUACAGGAAUUUGUGUAUUCAAUAACAAUAGAACUAACAAAAUUUAUUAGAGAACUAAAACUAACAAGUAGGUACAGUAUAACUAUCAAAUUAUUAAUGAAAAAUUUUUAAAUCAAAAUAACAAUUUACUGUUUUUACCAUUUUGCAACAUCUAUAAAUAAAAUUUAAAAUGUAUGGAUACUUACCUAAUACAAAAUAGAGUAAUAGUAUAGGGUGUCAAUAAGUUAUUUCAUCUAUGCUAUGACAUAGUAUGACGUCAACAUCACUUUUACUUUUACUCCCUAGGGAGUAAAAGUACUUUGUUUCCCUAGGGAGAAAAAAAUAUGACUAUGCUCCCUACAAUAAGGCCAGGAAAUGUAUACUUUGGAUAGAGGUAGGUGGGAAAAUCUGUUUUAUUCAGUUAUUGUGAUUUGUUUCUUACAAUCAGUUUGUUCUAGCACGAGUUUCAAACGGUCUGAAACCAUUAGCGAAUAGUGGACCAGCACGAGUAGAGGGGAUAGCACUCGUAACUGUAUUAUGUUCUCUCACUGACCAACUGUUUGCUGACUAGUUCGACUGUUUGCUAGAACAAACCUAUUAUUCAAACAAAAUGUCCUCUACGUCAGACUGAUCAGAAUUUUAAAAAUGAGUCAUAUCAAUCAAAUCAAAAAAUUUCAAAAAUUGUUCCUGUAACCAUUUUUAGUGGAAAUAAUAACAGUACUUAUAUUGGAUCAGAGAGCCACCCAAUUCAUUGUUAAAGUAUGAUAAACUAAAAGUUAAACAAUUAGGCAUGCACUUCAUAUUAUAUUUAAUGAAAUAUAACCCACUGGUACUCAUACAAACUUUAUACACAUACAAAUUUUUCCUCAUUUAUUAGUUUUUCACUACCGUUAAGUUUGGAAACAAGCGCUGUUGCCAAAUAAAAACAUAUACAGUCA